UGGUGGAGUGAUUUGUCUGGUUGAUUCCGUUAACGAACGAGAUCUCGACCCUUAAAUAGGUAUGCUCGUCGCCUCGGUGUGGUUGCUCCUCCGGGAUUCCCAACUCACUUAGACAGGGCAACUACUUCUUAAGGGGACUGCGUGCGCUUCUAGUACGCGGAAGAGCGAGCCAAUAGCA
rnacentral:rRNA from 1 species